UACGUAGGGGGCGAGCGUUGUCCGGAAUCAUUGGGCGUAAAGCGCGUGUAGGCGGCCCGGUAAGUCCGCUGUGAAAGUCCAGGGCUCAACCCUGGGAUGCCGGUGGAUACUGUCGGGCUCGAGUCCGGAAGAGGCGAGUGGAAUUCCUGGUGUAGCGGUGAAAUGCGCAGAUAUCAGGAAGAACACCUAUGGCGAAGGCAGCACUCUGGGACGGUACUGACGCUGAGACGCGAAAGCGUGGGGAGCGAACAGG
rnacentral:rRNA from 1 species